rnacentral:rRNA from 1 species
UACGUAGGUGGCAAGCGUUGUCCGGGAAUUAUUGGGCGUAAAGCGCGCGCAGGUGGUUCCUUAAGUCUGAUGUGAAAGCCCACGGCUCAACCGUGGAGGGUCAUUGGAAACUGGGGGAACUUGAGUGCAGAAGAGGAAAGUGGAAUUCCAAGUGUAGCGGUGAAAUGCGUAGAGAUUUGGAGGAACACCAGUGGCGAAGGCGACUUUCUGGUCUGUAACUGACACUGAGGCGCGAAAGCGUGGGGAGCAAACAGG